GGUGUUGUGGCGCAAUGGUGAGCGCAUCGGAUUUCGGUGAAGAAUGCCUUGACAUCUUCCGGAGGUUGCAGGUUCGAGUCCUGUCAACAUCG
rfam:Lipomyces starkeyi NRRL Y-11557 unplaced genomic scaffold LIPSTscaffold_7, whole genome shotgun sequence.